ensembl:lncRNA
UGGCUAGAUUAAAAAGGCUUCUAACUACAGUAACAUGGGGAAAUGGCAGUAAGACAUGUUGAUAAGGCAGAAACCUAGCACCUAGUAGAUUACUUGUUCUGUGUCCUAUCAGUAGGGAGGAAACAGAAUGAGGAACACCAACUCGACUAGCUGAUAACAGACCAGAGCCUGUGACCGGAAAACAGCUUCUGCAGCCGCCGCCACAGCUUUCAGGAACAUGGGAGACUCCAGAGCUCAUUAUGAAGCCCUAAAGAAAGAGCUAGAUGAAGAUUCCGUCUCCCCCAGUUGAAGUGUACCUAUGAUAAAAAUUACAGACCUCUACAUGCUUUGUAAGUAGGAAAACCUGCAAAAUCGGCAGUAUAUCAAAUACUUGUUCUCCCCACUGUAUGUUUAUUUUACAGAUGCAGCAGCCAUUUUUAAAGUGGCAAAAGAAUGUCAACCUAAGGGCAAAAACAGGCUUUGGGCAGACUUUGACCUUCCAGGUGCAGCCUUCACACUCUGCCAUGACGAUGGGACACCAUGGCCAAGGAGGACUUUGAAAAAGAGCAAAUGACCCUAUCAGAAAUAAAGGAUGUCUGGAAGAAAACAUUCUUUGUUGGACAAAGAUCCAUGGGUAAUAUUUAGUUCAGUGCCAUGAUAAUUAUAAUUUUUGGGGAUAUUUAUUCUUGAUAUGCAUUAUUGGAUGUAAUUUGUUUUCAAACAGCAGGACACAGUAACCUGGCUGAGGAACGGGUAAGAUAACAUUAUAUAAGCCUCUUCAAUAUGUAUGACAAUGUUACUACUACCAAAAUUAAGUGGCACAUAUUGAAUGUGUUUGAAAAAGUUGUCUACAACUGUUGAUCAUUGGAAACUAACAUUGGCAAUAUAUACUGGUUGCUGUUGAUUGUGC